AUUGAACGCUGGCAGCAGGCUUAACACAUGCAAGUCGAGCGCGCGGCGGACGGGUGCGUAAUGUCUGGGAAACUGCCUGAUGGAGGGGGAUCACUACUGGAAACGGUAGCUAAUACCGCAUACCAUAAGUUGUGCCCAGAUGGGUUUAGCUAGUAGGUGGGGUAAUGGCUCACCUAGGCGACGAUCCCUAGCUGGUCUGAGAGGAUGACCAGCCACACGGGAACUGAGACACGGUCCAGACUCCUACGGGAGGGAGCAGUGGGGAAUAUGGGACAAUGGGCGCAAGCCGGAUGCAGCCAUGCCGCGUGUGGGAAGAAGGCCUUCGGGUUGUAAAGCACUUUCAUCGAGGAGGCGGUACUCGCAGAAGAAGCACCGGCUAACUCCGUGCCAGCAGCCGCGGUAAUUC
rnacentral:rRNA from 1 species